AGCUGCAGAAGAAGCACCGGCUAACUCCGUGCCAGCAGCCGCGGUAAUACGGAGGGUGCGAGCGUUAAUCGGAAUUACUGGGCGUAAAGCGCAUGCAGGUGGUUUGUUAAGUUCAGAUGUGAAAGACCCGGGGCGUCAACCUCCGGAAUUGCAUUUGAAACUAGGCAGACUAGAGUACUGUAGAGGGGGGUAGGAAUUUCAGGUGUAGCGGUGAAAUAGCGUAGAGAUCUGAAGGAAUACCGGUGGCGAAGGCGGCCCCCUCGGACAGAUACUGACACUCAGAUGCGAAAGCGUGGGGAGCAAACAGGAUUAGAUACCCUGGUAG
rnacentral:rRNA from 1 species